AACUAAAUCCAAUUCAAGGGGCUUUAUGGACGUUCAACUACGGUGUCUGCUAGAAAUCCACUAAGAUGUCAGGAUGAUCAAAAAAAGAAAAGAAAAAUAAAAAAAGGCAGGAAGAGAGGUCAUUGAUCUCAUUAUGAAGUCACCUUAACUCAUAUCUAAGAUCUGAACUAGACCAAACAUUAAUCCAUGCAGCAUAACAUCCGUGCCUUAUUAAUGUAGUCAGCAUCAAAACCACCUAUUGCUGAGUUGCCGUUGCUUCUAGGUUGCUUAGCGGCAAACCAACUGAUAUAUAUGUGCCUGAAUACAAAGUUCAAAGCGUUGCACUUUGCUUUUUGACCCGUUCGACUACGUAUUGUAGAGAGCUUUAUCCAAUUUCUCGUGAAAAAAAACCCCCCUUACGUAAGAGAUAGAUUCGACCAGCUAAGAUAUAACUUUCCCACUUCACGACCUUCUAACCACCACCCCAAAUACGUAUACACUCCUUUGAUAUUUAACCUAUUCUAAAGCAUC
rnacentral:lncRNA from 1 species